AGUCUGUGCAGCAGAGACAAGAAGUGGCAGCAGAGAUAGGAAGUAGGAGCACAAAUGGAGAUUCAGAGACAGAUACUGAAAAAAGAAGAAAAAUCAAAGAGAGUGGGGGAGAGAAAGGCAGAAUGGGAGAGGGACAGUUGGAACCCCUAGGUCUUCAGUAAAAAGAUGGAGGUGCUGUCUGGUGGGAAUCAAUUACAACUAGAUUGUCUAAAACUGGUACUUCACAUGAUGGAUUCUGCAGUCAGUGCUUGAUAGAGAAGUUCCACUUACCUUUCAGCACCUUCAGUCUAACUACUACUGCUAGAAGAUUUAUAUUGUUUCACACAUACCUGUUCCAUAAAUAUCCCUAAGUUCCAUAAAAGCUUCCUGAAAUAGAUGUUCUAUACCCUAUAUAUAAAAAAAUAACAACCCAGUUACUCAAAUACUUACAGCCCUCUGUAAAGCAUUACUGUUCCACAGUGUAAUAGGUUUGAUGUCCCUCAUUGUGUCCUUCGUCUUUCGGUGUUUGCCUCUAAUUGUCACUCAUAUAAGACUGCCAUGACUCAUAUAAGA